rnacentral:rRNA from 1 species
GAUGAACGCUGGCGGCGUGCUUAACACAUGCAAGUCGAACGAUGAAGCCCAGCUUGCUGGGUGGAUUAGUGGCGAACGGGUGAGUAACACGUGAGUAACCUGCCCCUCACUCUGGGAUAACUCCGGGAAACCGGUGCUAAUACUGGAUACGAUCACUUCCCGCAUGGGAUGGUGGUGGAAAGUUUUUCGGUGGGGGAUGGACUCGCGGCCUAUCAGCUUGUUGGUGGGGUAAUGGCCUACCAAGGCGACGACGGGUAGCCGGCCUGAGAGGGCGACCGGCCACACUGGGACUGAGACACGGCCCAG